rnacentral:rRNA from 1 species
AACGCGAAGAACCUUACCUACUCUUGACAUCAAGAGAAUUCGCUAGAGAUAGCUUAGUGCCUUCGGGAACUCUGAGACAGGCGCUGCAUGGCUGUCGUCAGCUCGUGUUGUGAAAUGUUGGGUUAAGUCCCGCAUCGAGCGCAACCCUUAUCCUUUGUUGCCAGCGAGUAAUGUCGGGAACUCAAAGGAGACUGCCGGUGAUAAACCGGAGGAAGGUGGGGAUGACGUCAAGUCAUCAUGGCCCUUACGAGUAGGGCCACACACGUGCUACAGUGGCAUAUACAAAGAGAAGCGAACUCGCGAGAGCAAGCGGACCUCAUAAAGUAUGUCGUAGUCCGGAUUGGAGUCUGCAACUCGACUCCAUGAAGUCGGAAUCGCUAGUAAUCGUAGAUCAGAAUGCUACGGUGAAUACGUUCCCGGGCCUUGUACACACCGCCCGU